CCAAUAGCGUAUAUUAAAGUUGUUGCAGUUAAAAAGCUCGUAGUUGAAUUUCGGGAUCAGUACGCUGGUCGUGCCUUCGGUAUGCACUGGUGUCACUGGUUCCUCCCUUCUGAAGAACCGUCAUGCCAUUCAGUUGGUGUGGCGGGGAAUCAGGACUGUUACUUUGAAAAAAUUAGAGUGUUUAAAGCAGGCUCGCGCUUGAAUACAUUAGCAUGGAAUA
rnacentral:rRNA from 1 species